rnacentral:rRNA from 1 species
UGGGCUUGACGUGUCCGGAAUCCUGCAGAGAUGCGGGAGUGCCCUUCGGGGAAUCGGAACAC